rnacentral:rRNA from 1 species
UGCGUAGGCGGGCUAAUAAGUCAGUGGUGAAAUCUUUCGGCUCAACCGAGAAACUGCCAUUGAUACUGUUAGUCUUGAGUUCGGUUGAGGUAGGCGGAAUGUGUAAUGUAGCGGUGAAAUGCUUAGAUAUUACACAGAACACCAAUUGCGUAGGCAGCUUACUAGACCGACACUGACGCUGGGGCACGAAAGCGUGGGAAGCGAACAGGAUUAGAUACCCUGGUAGUCC